rnacentral:rRNA from 1 species
AGAGUUUGAUCCUGGCUCAGGAUGAACGCUAGCUACAGGCUUAACACAUGCAAGUCGAGGGGCAUCAGGAAGAAAGCUUGCUUUCUUUGCUGGCGACCGGCGCACGGGUGAGUAACACGUAUCCAACCUGCCCUUUACUCGGGGAUAGCCUUUCGAAAGAAAGAUUAAUACCCGAUAGUAUAAUCAUUCCGCAUGGUCUGAUUAUUAAAGGAUUCCGGUAAAGGAUGGGGAUGCGUUCCAUUAGGUUGUUGGUGAGGUAACGGCUCACCAAGCCUUCGAUGGAUAGGGGUUCUGAGAGGAAGGUCCCCCACAUUGGAACUGAGACACGGUCCAAACUCCUACGGGAGGCAGCAGUGAGGAAUAUUGGUCAAUGGGCGCGAGCCUGAACCAGCCAAGUAGCGUGAAGGAUGACUGCCCUAUGGGUUGUAAACUUCUUUUAUAUUAGAAUAAAGUGCAGUAUGUAUACUGUUUUGUAUGUAUAAUAUGAAUAAGGAUCGGCUAACUCCGUGCCAGCAGCCGCGGUAAUACGGAGGAUCCGAGCGUUAUCCGGAUUUAUUGGGUUUAAAGGGAGCGUAGGUGGACUGGUAAGUCAGUUGUGAAAGUUUGCGGCUCAACCGUAAAAUUGCAGUUGAUACUGUCAGUCUUGAGUACAGUAGAGGUGGGCGGAAUUCGUGGUGUAGCGGUGAAAUGCUUAGAUAUCACGAAGAACUCCGAUUGCGAAGGCAGCUCACUGGACUGCAACUGACACUGAUGCUCGAAAGUGUGGGUAUCAAACAGGAUUAGAUACCCUGGUAGUCCACACAGUAAACGAUGAAUACUCGCUGUUUGCGAUAUACAGUAAGCGGCCAAGCGAAAGCAUUAAGUAUUCCACCUGGGGAGUACGCCGGCAACGGUGAAACUCAAAGGAAUUGACGGGGGCCCGCACAAGCGGAGGAACAUGUGGUUUAAUUCGAUGAUACGCGAGGAACCUUACCCGGGCUUAAAUUGCAGUGGAAUGAUGUGGAAACAUGUCAGUGAGCAAUCA